rnacentral:rRNA from 1 species
GACGAACGCUGGCGGCGUGCCUAAUACAUGCAAGUCGAACGCAUCCCGUUGAAUUGAAGUGCUUGCACUGAUUUUUAACAUCGGAUGAGUGGCGAACUGGUGAGUAACACGUGGGUAACCUGCCCAGAAGCGGGGGAUAACACUUGGAAACAGGUGCUAAUACCGCAUAACAACAGAAACCGCAUGGUUUCUGUUUGAAAGAUGGUUUCGGCUAUCACUUCUGGAUGGACCCGCGGCGUAUUAGCUAGUUGGUGGAGUAAUGGUUCACCAAGGAAAUGAUACGUAGCCGACCUGAGAGGGUAAUCGGCCACAUUGGGACUGAGACACGGCCCAAACUCCUACGGGAGGCAGCAGUAGGGAAUCUUCCACAAUGGACGAAAGUCUGAUGGAGCAACGCCGCGUGAGUGAAGAAGGGUUUCGGCUCGUAAAACUCUGUUGUUGAAGAAGAACACAUCUGAGAGUAACUGUUCAGGUGUUGACGGUAUUUAACCAGAAAGCCACGGCUAACUACGUGCCAGCCGCCGCCGUAAUAC